CCUACGUGAGGCUGCAGUGGGGGAUAUUGCACAAUGGGGGAAACCCUGAUGCAGCGACGCCGCGUGUGGGAAGACGGUCCUCUGGAUUGUAAACCACUGUCCCCAGGGACGAAGAUAACGUUACCUGGGGAGGAAGCUCCGGCUAACUACGUUCCAGCAGCCGCGGUCAUACGUAGGGAGCGAGCGUUGUCCGGAAUUACGGGGUGUAAAGGGCGCGUAGGCGGGGAUGCAAGUUGGGUGUCAAAACUACCGGCUCAACUGGUAGUCGCACUCAAAACUGCAGCUCUUGAGUGAAGUAGAGGCAGGCGGAAUUCCUAGUGUAGCGGUGAAAUGCGUAGAUAUUAGGAGGAACACCAGUGGCGAAGGCGGCCUGCUGGGCUUUUACUGACGCUGAGGCUCGAAAGUGUGGGGAGCAAACAGGAUUAGAUACCCUUGUAGUC
rnacentral:rRNA from 1 species